AGCAGCCGCGGUAAUUCCAGCUCCAAUAGCGUAUAUUAAAGUUGUUGCAGUUAAAAAGCUCGUAGUUGAAUUUCGGGGUUCAUCCGUUGGUCGGGCUUUUUUGGUCUGUACUGGCGUGAUGGAUUCCUACCUUCUGAAUAACCGGCAUGUCAUUAAUUUGGUGCGCUGGGGGAGCAGGACUGUUACCUUGAAAAAAUUAGAGUGCUUAAAGCAGGCUAUCGCCUGAAUACAUUAGCAUGGAAUAAUGAAAUAGGACGGCAUGGUUCUAUUUUGUUGGUUUCUAGGAUCACCGUAAUGAUUAAUAGGGAUAGUUGGGGGCAUUAGUAUUCAAUUGUCAGAGGUGAAAUUCUUGGAUUUAUUGAAGACCAACUUCUGCGAAAGCAUUUGCCAAGGAUGUUUUCAUUAAUCAAGAACGAAAGUUAGGGGAUCGAAGACGAUCAAAUACCGUCGUAGUCUUAACCAUAAACUAUGCCGACUAGGGAUCGGACGAUGUUAAUUUUUAAUGUAACUCGUUCGGCGU
rnacentral:rRNA from 1 species